rnacentral:rRNA from 1 species
GAUGAACGCUGGCGGCGUGCCUAAUACAUGCAAGUCGAGCGAACGGACGAGAAGCUUGCUUCUCUGAUGUUAGCGGCGGACGGGUGAGUAACACGUGGAUAACCUACCUAUAAGACUGGGAUAACUUCGGGAAACCGGAGCUAAUACCGGAUAAUAUUUUGAACCGCAUGGUUCAAAAGUGAAAGACGGUCUUGCUGUCACUUAUAGAUGGAUCCGCGCCGCAUUAGCUAGUUGGUAAGGUAACGGCUUACCAAGGCAACGAUGCAUAGCCGACCUGAGAGGGUGAUCGGCCACACUGGAACUGAGACACGGUCCAGACUCCUACGGGAGGCAGCAGUAGGGAAUCUUCCGCAAUGGGCAAAAGCCUGACGGAGCAACGCCGCGUGAGUGAUGAAGGUCUUCGGAUCGUAAAACUCUGUUAUUAGGGAAGAACAUAUGUGUAAGUAACUGUGCACAUCUUGACGGUACCUAAUCAGAAAGCCACGGCUAACUACGUG